GGGAUAAUAGUUAAAUAUAACAUUUAAGUUGCAUUUAAAAAGUAUUGGGAUACCAAUUUAUCUUA
rnacentral:tRNA from 1 species